rnacentral:rRNA from 1 species
GAUGAACGCUGGCGGCGUGCUUAACACAUGCAAGUCGAACGGAAAGGCCCAAGCUUGCUUGGGUACUCGAGUGGCGAACGGGUGAGUAACACGUGGGUGAUCUGCCCUGCACUUCGGGAUAAGCCUGGGCAACUGGGUCUAAUACCGGAUAGGACGAUGGUUUGGAUGCCAUUGUGGAAAGUUUUUUCGGUGUGGGAUGAGCUCGCGGCCUAUCAGCUUGUUGGUGGGGUAGUGGCCUACCAAGGCUUCGACGGGUAGCCGGCCUGAGAGGGUGUACGGCCAGAGUAGGACUGGGAUACGGCCCAGACUGCGGCGGGAGGCAGCAGGGGGGAAUAUUGCACAAUGGGCGCAAGCCUGAUGCAGCGAGGCCGCGGGGGGGAUGACGGCCUUCGGGUUGGAAACACCUUUCGCUGGUGACGAAGCGUUUUUGUGACGGUACCUGGAGAAGAAGCACCGGCUAACUACGUG